rnacentral:rRNA from 1 species
AUUGAACGCUGGCGGCAUGCUUUACACAUGCAAGUCGAACGGUAACAGGCCGCAAGGUGCUGACGAGUGGCGAACGGGUGAGUAAUGCAUCGGAACGUGCCCAGUCGUGGGGGAUAACGCAGCGAAAGCUGUGCUAAUACCGCAUACGAUCUAUGGAUGAAAGCGGGGGACCGUAAGGCCUCGCGCGAUUGGAGCGGCCGAUGUCAGAGUAGGUAGUUGGUGGGGUAAAGGCCCACCAAGCCGACGAUCUGUAGCUGGUCUGAGAGGACGACCAGCCACACUGGGACUGAGACACGGCCCAGACUCCUACGGGAGGCAGCAGUGGGGAAUUUUGGACAAUGGGCGCAAGCCUGAUCCAGCAAUGCCGCGUGCAGGAAGAAGGCCUUCGGGUUGUAAACUGCUUUUGUACGGAACGAAACGGUCUGGGUUAAUACCCUGGGCUAAUGACGGUACCGUAAGAAUAAGCACCGGCUAACUACGUGCCAGCCGCCGCAGUAACAC